rnacentral:rRNA from 1 species
GACGUAGGGCGCGAGCGUUGUCCGGAUUUAUUGGGCGUAAAGAGCUCGUAGGCGGCUUGUCGCGUCGUCCGUGAAAACUUGGGGCUCAACCCCAAGCUUGCGGUCGAUACGGGCAGGCUAGAGUUCGGUAGGGGAGACUGGAAUUCCUGGUGUAGCGGUGAAAUGCGCAGAUAUCAGGAGGAACACCGGUGGCGAAGGCGGGUCUCUGGGCCUUACCUGACGCUGAGGCGCGAAAGCUAGGGGAGCGAACCGG